GAUGAACGCUGGCGGCGUGCCUAAUACAUGCAAGUCGAGCGAAGCGGGGAAGGGUGAGAAACACGUGGUGAAACUUCUAUAAGGCCGGGACAACUUCGGGAAACCGGAGCUAAAACGGAUAUUUAUAGAUGGAUCAGGGCUGCAUUAGCUAGUUGGUGAGGUAAUGGCUUACCAAGGCAACGAUGCAUACCCGACCUGUUAGGGUGAUCGGCCACACUGGAACUGAGACACGGUCCAGACUCCUACGGGAGGCAGCAGUAGGGAAUCUUCCGCAAUGGGCGAAAGCCUGACGGAGCAACGCCGCGUGAGUGAUGAAGGUCUUCGGAUCGUAAAACUCUGUUAUUAGGGAAGCGGUACCUGAUCAGAAAGCCACGGCUAACUACGUGCCAGCAGCCGCGGUAAUAC
rnacentral:rRNA from 1 species